rnacentral:rRNA from 1 species
AACGGCCAUGCCAUGCUGAAUGUACCGGUUCUCGUUAGGAUCACCGAAGUUAAAAGCAUCAUUGGGCGCGGUCAGUACUUGGGUGGGUGACCACCUGGGAACACCGCGUGCCGGC